UGGGGAAUCUUGCGCAAUGCGCGAAAGCGUGACGCAGCAACGCCGCGUGGGGGAAGACGGCCUUCGGGUUGUAAACCCCUUUCAGGAGGGACGAAGGCUCGGCGGUUAACAGCCGACCGAGUUGACGGUACCUCCAGAAGAAGCUCCGGCUAACUACGUGCCAGCAGCCGCGGUAAUACGUAGGGAGCAAGCGUUGUCCGGAAUCAUUGGGCGUAAAGCGCGCGUAGGCGGCCUCAUAAGUCCGUUGUGAAAGUCAAAGGCUCAACCUUUGAAAGCCGAUGGAUACUGUGAGGCUAGAGUCCGGAAGAGGCGAGUGGAAUUCCUGGUGUAGCGGUGGAAUGCGCAGAUAUCAGGAGGAACACCAAUAGCGAAGGCAGCUCGCUGGGACGGUACUGACGCUAAGGCGCGAAAGCGUGGGGAGCGAACAG
rnacentral:rRNA from 1 species